rnacentral:snRNA from 19 species
AUCCUAGUGCAAGGGCUUUACACGUAUCAGUGAGGAGACAUCCGAGAUCGUGUUUUUGCUAGUUGAAAACUACCACCUUGACUGCUUCAAGUGAGCCUCGCGGCUUGCUUGGGAAUUUUUGAAACAUACUUACUCUACCUCAACUCCUUGACUCUUGAGUCCUCGAGUUGAAU